rnacentral:ncRNA from 2 species
CUGCGCGCUAACCUAGAACCCACAA